AGAGCGAACGCUGGCGGCAGGCCUAACACAUGCAAGUCGAACGGACUCUUCGGAGUUAGUGGCGGACGGGUGAGUAACACGUGGGAACGUGCCUUUUGGUUCGGAAUAGCUCCUGGAAACGGGUGGUAAUGCCGAAUGUGCCCUUCGGGGGAAAGAUUUAUCGCCAUUAGAGCGGCCCGCGUCUGAUUAGCUAGUUGGUGAGGUAAAGGCUCACCAAGCCUUCGAUCUGUAGCUGGUCUGGAGAGGACGACCAGCCACACUGGGACUGAGACACGGCCCAGACUCCUACGGGAGGCAGCAGUGGGGAAUUUUGGACAAUGGGCGAAAGCCUGAUCCAGCCAUGCCGCGUGCAGGAUGGAA
rnacentral:rRNA from 1 species